rnacentral:hammerhead_ribozyme from 1 species
AUCCAGCCGACGAGUCCGAAAUAGGACGAAGCGCGCGACCUGAAU